rnacentral:rRNA from 1 species
AUUGAACGCUGGCGGCAGGCCUAACACAUGCAAGUCGAGCGGAUGAAGGGAGCUUGCUCCUGGAUUCAGCGGCGGACGGGUGAGUAAUGCCUAGGAAUCUGCCUGGUAGUGGGGGAUAACGUCCGGAAACGGGCGCUAAUACCGCAUACGUCCUGAGGGAGAAAGUGGGGGAUCUUCGGACCUCACGCUAUCAGAUGAGCCUAGGUCGGAUUAGCUAGUUGGUGGGGUAAAGGCCUACCAAGGCGACGAUCCGUAACUGGUCUGAGAGGAUGAUCAGUCACACUGGAACUGAGACACGGUCCAGACUACUACGGGAGGCAGCAGUGGGGAAUUUUGGACAAUGGGGGAAAGCUUGAUCCAGAGAUGCCGCGUGUUUGAAGAAGGUCUUCGGAUUGUAAAGCACUUUAAGUUGGGAGGAAGGGCAGUAAGUUAAUACCUUGCUGUUUUGACGUUACCAACAGAAUAAGCACCGGCUAACUUCGUG